GCCCGGGUGGUGGAAUUGGUAGACACGCUAGUUUCAGGGACUAGUGGCCGUACGGCUGUGUGAGUUCGAGUCUCGUCCCGGGUACAA
rnacentral:tRNA from 1 species